CCUACGGGAGGCAGCAGUGGGGGAUAUUGGACAAUGGACGAAAGUCUGAUGGAGCAACGCCGCGUGAGUGAAGAAGGGUUUCGGCUCGUAAAGCUCUGUUAGUAGUGAAGGAAGAUAGAGGUAGUAACUGGCCUUUAUUUGACGGUAAUUACUUAGAAAGUCACGGCUAACUACGUGCCAGCAGCCGCGGUAAUACGUAGGUGGCAAGCGUUGUCCGGAUUUAUUGGGCGUAAAGCGAGUGCAGGCGGGUCCAUAAGUCU
rnacentral:rRNA from 1 species